rnacentral:rRNA from 1 species
CAACCUGCCCUUCAGAGGGGACAACAGUUGGAAACGACUGCUAAUACCGCAUACGAUCUGACCUCGGCAUCGAGGAUAGAUGAAAGGUGGCCUCUAUUUAUAAGCUAUCACUGAAGGAGGGGAUUGCGUCUGAUUAGCUAGUUGGAGGGGUAACGGCCCACCAAGGCGGUGAUCAGUAGCCGGUCUGAGAGGAUGAACGGCCACAUUGGGACUGAGACACGGCCCAG